GAGUUUGAUCGUGGCUCAGGAUGAACGCUGGCGGCGUGCCUAAUACAUGCAAGUCGAGCGAACAGAUAAGGAGCUUGCUCCUUUGAAGUUAGCGGCGGACGGGUGAGUAACACGUGGGUAACCUACCUAUAAGACUGGGGAUAACUUCGGGAAACCGGAGCUAGUACCGGAUAACAUUUAGAACCGCAUGGUUCUAAAGUGAAAGAUGGUUUUGCUAUCACUUAUAGAUGGACCCGCGCCGUAUUAGCUAGUUGGUAAGGUAACGGCUUACCAAGGCGACGAUACGUAGCCGACCUGAGAGGGUGAUCGGCCACACUGGAACUGAGACACGGUCCAGACUCCCACGGGAGGCAGCAGUAGGGAAUCUUCCGCAAUGGGCGAAAGCCUGACGGAGCAACGCCGCGUGAGUGAUGAAGGGUUUCGGCGUCGUAAAACUCUGUUAUUAGGGAAGAACAAAUGUGUAAGUAACUGUGCACAUCUUGACGGUACCUAAUCAGAAAGCCACGGCUAACUACGUGCCAGCCGCGCAGUAAU
rnacentral:rRNA from 1 species